rnacentral:rRNA from 1 species
GACGAACGCUGGCGGCGUGCCUAAUACAUGCCAGUAGGACGCAGUUGCGAACGGGUGAGUAACGCGUUGGUAACUGCCUAUUAGAGGGGGAUAACUAUUGGAAACGAUAGCUAAUACCGCAUACUAGUCGAUGGCCCUGCGUUGUAUUAGCUAGUCGGUAGGGUAAUGGCCUACCUAGGCAACGAUACAUAGCCGACCUGGGAGGGUGAUCGGCCAAACUGGGAAUGGGACAAGGCCCAGAAUCCUACGGGAGGCAGCAGUAGGGAAUCUUCGGCAAUGGGGGGAACCCUGACCGAGCAACGCCGCGUGAGUGAAGAAGGUUUUCGGAUCGUAAAGCUCUGUUGUUAAGGAAGCGGUACUUAACCAGAAAGGGACGGCUAACUACGUGCCAGCAGCCGCGGUAAUAC